AAAACAAGCCGUCUUAUCGCACUGACGAUUAAUGUCAGUAAGGAAAGUCCGGACACCAUAGUGCAGAUAGCGGGUAACGCCCGUCAUCUUGAUGAAUAAUCAGGAUUGGACAAGUGCAACAGAAAGCAAGUACAGUUAGGCUGUAGUGAAAUCAGGUAAACUCUAUGCGGUGCAAUACCAUGUAAACCAAGGCUUGAAAGUGGCACGCUUGAUCUUGGAGGGUUGGUAGCUUGAGAUUUAGAGCAAUCUAAAUUCUAGAUAAAUGAUAAGAUUCCGUCAAGGCGGAAACAGAAUCCGGCUUAUAGGCUUGUUUUAUUU
rnacentral:RNase_P_RNA from 1 species